UUGACCUCGGAUCAGGUAGGAAUACCCGCUGAACUUAAGCAUAUCAAUAAGCGGAGGAAAAGAAACCAACAGGGAUUGCCCUAGUAACGGCGAGUGAAGCGGCAACAGCUCAAAUUUGAAAUCUGGCUCUCGGGCCCGAGUUGUAAUUUGUAGAGGAUACUUUUGAUGCGGUGCCUUCCGAGUUCCCUGGAACGGGACGCCAUAGAGGGUGAGAGCCCCGUCUGGUUGGAUGCCAAAUCUCUGUAAAGUUCCUUCAACGAGUCGAGUAGUUUGGGAAUGCUGCUCUAAAUGGGAGGUAUAUGUCUUCUAAAGCUAAAUACCGGCCAGAGACCGAUAGCGCACAAGUAGAGUGAUCGAAAGAUGAAAAGCACUUUGAAAAGAGAGUUAAAAAGUACGUGAAAUUGUUGAAAGGGAAGCGUUUAUGACCAGACUUGGGCUUGGUUAAUCAUCUGGGGUUCUCCCCAGUGCACUUUUCCAGUCCAGGCCAGCAUCAGUUUUCCCCGGGGGAUAAAGGCGGCGGGAAUGUGGCUCUCUUCGGGGAGUGUUAUAGCCCACCGUGUAAUACCCUGGGGGGGACUGAGGUUCGCGCAUCUGCAAGGAUGCUGGCGUAAUGGUCAUCAACGACCCGUCUUGAAACACGGACCAAGGAGUCGUCUUCGUAUGCGAGUGUUCGGGUGUCAAACCCCUACGCGUAAUGAAAGUGAACGCAGGUGAGAGCUUCGGCGCAUCAUCGACCGAUCCUGAUGUUCUCGGAUGGAUUUGAGUAAGAGCAUACGGGGCCGGACCCGAAAGAAGGUGAACUAUGCCUGUAUAGGGUGAAGCCAGAGGAAACUCUGGUGGAGGCUCGCAGC
rnacentral:rRNA from 1 species